CCCUGGCUCAGAACGAACGCUGGCGGCAGGCUUAACACAUGCAAGUCGAGCGCCUCGCAAGAGGAGCGGCAGACGGGUGAGUAACGCGUGGGAAUCUACCCAUCUCUACGGAAUAACUCAGGGAAACUUGUGCUAAUACCGUAUACGCCCCCCUUUAAAAUUCCAGGAAUCAUAAAAUGCCCUGGCAUUUUAUGGGGGGGAAAGAUUUAUCGGAGAUGGAUGAGCCCGCGUUGGAUUAGCUAGUUGGUGGGGUAAAGGCCUACCAAGGCGACGAUCCAUAGCUGGUCUGAGAGGAUGAUCAGCCACAUUGGGACUGAGACACGGCCCAAACUCCUACGGGAGGCAGCAGUGGGGAAUAUUGGACAAUGGGCGCAAGCCUGAUCCAGCCAUGCCGCGUGAGUGAUGAAGGCCUUAGGGUUGUAAAGCUCUUUCACCGGAGAAGAUAAUGACGGUAUCCGGAGAAGAAGCCCCGGCUAACU
rnacentral:rRNA from 1 species